CUCCAAGUAGGAAUACAGCCUUUUAAGGUCUGAGCCUCUCAGUCCCACAUGCACACGAAGUUGUUGCUGUUGCAGACAGCUGGCAGGUGGUUUUCUUUACUUGCAGGUUUGUUUGCUACCUGUACAGCUUGUAGCUUUCGUCACAUGCAGCAACACUUCAGAAGAGUUUAAAAUAAUAAAGUUGAUCUGCUUUUUACGGAAUACAGCCUCUUCAGGUCUGAGCCUCUCAGCCCAAUGUGCUCAUGGGUUUGUUGCAGCCAGCUGGCGAAAGGUGUUCUUCUUGCUGGCUUGAUUGAUACCUGUACAGUUUGCAGCUCUCUUCACAUGCAAAAAUACUUCAGAGCAAAUAAAAUUAAUCAAGUUGAUCAGCUUUUCUACGGAUUACAAGUUUACAACCUCUUCUGAGGCUCUGAGCCUCUUGAUGGCAGUCCAAUGUGCAGAAAGACUUGGGUGCAUCUAGCUGGUGAACGGUGGGUUGAGUUGUUCAUGCAGAUUCGGGUGUUGAUAUUGUUCGUACAUUUAAUAAUGGACCAUUCAGUCGUUCGUUAAUGCUGUUGCUUUUCACUAGGUGUGUAAAAUUAUGUUUACCGGUGGCGAAGUGUCCGUGAGUGAGUGACGAAAUUUGCUUUUAAGACAGUGGACUGGAAUGUGUUGCUAACGUUGUUUUUUCGCUUUUACAUUUAAGAAUGAUUGAGGUAUUCUGACGCCAUUCGACCAAGCUGAAUCGAAAGUGAACAACUCUAAAGCAAAUCAUGCCUUUCUCCAAGUGGUCGCUGCCAUGUCAUGAAGAUACGUCUUUGAGAGGGUCUCUACACUAUUGAUUUCAUGGUCAUUUUCCAGUUGACAGAUGGACUUGAAUGGAGUUUGUGCAGACUUGCAGUUCAACAUCAUACCAUUCAUACCUCUUUCUUAUUUUUCUAUGCUUGUUGUGUUCAUGCGGUGUUGAAAAGUUGCUGAAAAUAGUCCAUGUUGCCUGAUGGUUGUCGGGCAUAUUUAAUCGACUGCAUUUUGUCGAUUCCUUCUUUUGCUACCUGUGCGUUGAGUGAGUCGCCGUUCCAUAGCUGAAACUGAAGAGACUGCUGAAAUUUAAGACUGAUAAAUUAUGUAGAUGAUCACAAUAGUAUAGCUGUGCUCCUUCCUUCCCCGUGUUAUUAAGUAAACAGUAACCAACCAACACCCCUAGCUGACCAUCACCCCCCGGUCAUAAUGCGAUAAGCUCCAUGAUAUGUGGAAAAUUUGGAAAAUUAUGAGGGAAACUUUUUUAUGAACACUUUACUUGCUUAAUUAACAUUCGUUUCAAAAUUCUAUUUUUACAAUUCAACAAGUAU